AGCUAUUCUGCCACUCUUCCGACAUUCACUUCUUCUCCUAUAUCUGAAGAAUGUUUAAGUCUCAUGGUUUCUUACUUUGAUGUGAUUUUGGCGUCUGUCCCUUCUUUGAAAUUUGAUUGUCAUGUUACCCCCAUUUAGUUCAGACUAUCACUUCCCAGAUGGCUGCAGUGUUAACCUUUUAACCAGUCUCCCCGAUUCCCUUUUUUCAGUCUCUGUAGUGGACCUAUAAAUUAUUUUUCUCUGAAACACAUGGAUGCCAUACAUUUCUUCUGCUCAAAAAACCUAGAAUUUUUCCAUUUGCCUUCCAGAUAAAACCUUGUUUUUGUUACCGUGGUAUAUUAGAUUCUUGUUCAGAAGUAUUCACACCUCCUCCCUUGACUUUGCUCUGAUCUCACCCUAGACUUGUUUUGACCUCAUGCUGGGCAGAGAGUACUUGUGACCCCUUGAUGUUUGACUUGGACAUGUGACUUACUUUGGCAAUAGAAUCAUGGCAGACACAAUGCAAAUAGAAGCAUGGAACGCACUUAGGUUACUGGGUUUGCCUAAUUGCGUUUCUGCCACUCCCAUGAGAGGCACAUCGUCCACCUAAACUGCUGAUCCAGGGAAGAUGAGAAAUGUGGAGCAUAUGUGAGCCCAGCACAGAGCAGAGCCCCACCCUGCCAGAUCUGCAGCUUGAAGCAGAGCUACCUACCUGUGCCCACUCCAGAUCAGCCAACACUCACCCAACCCAGUGAGAAAGAAAGGCCAUAUGAAAACACAACGGAAAGACAGCUGUCUACAAGCCAACAAGAGAGGUCUCAUUAGAAACCAACCCUGAUGUCACUCUGAUCUUGCACUGCUAGCCUCGGGAACUAAGAGAAACCCAAACACAGCAGCCCAAGGAUAUGUCAGAGGCAUAUACUUAUGUUUUCCCAUCUAUCAAAUCAGGCUGUCCAGGUGGUUUGCUGCUCUGUGGUGCUGAGGAUUCAGAGAUGAAUCAGGCUUGACCUCAAAGACACAGAUCACUAGGCAUCCAUUUUCAAGACUGUAUGAUGAAGCCAUCUUGUGGGACACCUGGGCAACUUGACUUCCCUGUGUGAUGG